GCUUGGCGCACAGACUCGUGACUCGAGAAGGCUCCGUGGCACCACUCCCCCUCUACACGUCACCAUCCUUGCCCAACAUCACGCUGGGGCUGCCUGCCACCGGGCCGUCCGCUGGGGCGGCCGGCCAGCAGGAAGCCGAGAGACUGGCUCUCCCCGCCCUCCAGCAGCGGAUCUCCCUGUUCCCCGGCACCCACCUCACUCCCUACCUGAGCACAGCGCCCCUGGAGCGCGACAGCGGGGCUGCACACAGCCCCCUCCUGCAGCACAUGGUCCUCCUGGAGCAGCCGCCCGCGCAGACGCCCCUGGUCACAGGCCUGGGCGCGCUGCCCCUGCACGCGCAGCCUCUGGUGGGCGCGGACCGCGUGUCCCCGUCCAUGCACAAGCUGCGGCAGCACCGCCCGCUCGGGCGCACCCAGUCGGCCCCGCUGCCCCAGAACGCACCGGCCCUGCAGCACCUGGUGAUCCAGCAGCAGCACCAGCAGUUCCUGGAGAAGCACAAGCAGCACUUCCAGCAGCAGCUGCACAUGAACAAGAUUAUCCCCAAACAGAGCGAGCCGGCCCGGCAGCCCGAGAGCCACCCCGAGGAGACCGAGGAGGAACUUCGUGAGCACCAGGCCCUCCUGGAGGAGCCCUACCUGGACCGGCGGUCAGGGCAGAAGGAGGCGCACGCACUGGCCGGAGUGCAGGUGAAGCAGGAGCCCAUCGAGAGCGACGACGAGGAGGUGGAGCCCCCGCGGGGCGUGGAGGCCGGCCAGCGCCAGCCCACAGAGCAGGAGUUGCUCUUCACACAGCAAGCCCUUCUCCUGGAGCAGCAGCGGAUCCACCAGCUGAGGAACUACCAGGCGUCCAUGGAGGCCGCCGGCAUCCCCGUGUCCUUCGGCGGCCACCGGCCUCUGUCCCGGGCGCAGUCCUCCCCGGCGUCUGCCACCUUCCCUAUGUCUGUGCAGGAGCCCCCCACCAAACCAAGGUUCACCACAGGCCUCGUGUACGACACAUUGAUGCUGAAGCACCAGUGUACCUGUGGGAACACCAACAGCCACCCCGAGCACGCCGGCAGGAUCCAGAGCAUCUGGUCUCGGCUGCAGGAGACCGGCCUCCGAGGCAAAUGUGAGUGCAUCCGCGGACGGAAGGCCACGCUGGAGGAACUGCAGGCCGUGCACUCGGAGGCACACACGCUGCUGUACGGCACAAACCCCCUCAACAGGCAGAAACUGGACAGUAAGAAACUUCUAGGCUCGCUAACAUCGGUGUUCGUCAGGCUGCCCUGUGGGGGUGUCGGGGUGGACAGCGACACCAUAUGGAACGAGGUGCACUCAUCAGGUGCGGCCCGCCUGGCCGUGGGCUGUGUGAUCGAGCUGGUCUUCAAGGUGGCCACGGGGGAGCUGAAGAACGGCUUUGCCGUGGUCCGUCCUCCAGGACAUCACGCGGAGGAGAGCACACCCAUGGGCUUCUGCUACUUUAACUCCGUGGCCAUCGCGGCCAAGCUUCUCCAGCAGAGGCUGGACGUGAGCAAGACCCUCAUAGUGGACUGGGACGUACACCACGGAAACGGGACCCAGCAGGCCUUCUACAACGACCCAAACGUCCUGUACAUCUCCCUUCACCGCUAUGACGAUGGGAACUUCUUCCCGGGCAGUGGGGCUCCGGACGAGGUGGGCACAGGGCCGGGCGUGGGCUUCAACGUCAACAUGGCUUUCACCGGCGGCCUUGACCCCCCCAUGGGAGACGCGGAGUACUUGGCGGCCUUCAGGACCGUGGUCAUGCCCAUCGCGAACGAGUUUGCCCCAGAUGUGGUUCUCGUGUCAUCGGGCUUCGACGCUGUGGAGGGCCACCCCACACCCCUCGGCGGCUACAACCUCUCCGCUAAAUGUUUCGGGUACCUGACGAAGCAGCUGAUGGGCUUGGCUGGCGGCCGGAUCGUUCUGGCCCUGGAGGGGGGCCACGACCUCACGGCUAUCUGCGAUGCCUCGGAAGCAUGUGUUUCUGCUUUGCUGGGCAACGAGCUUGAUCCUCUUCCAGAGAAGGUCUUACAGCAGAGACCCAACGCUAACGCGGUCCGGUCCAUGGAGAAAGUCAUUGAAAUCCACAGCCAGUAUUGGCGCUCCCUGCCACGUCUCUGCUCCACGGUGGGGCGCUCGCUGGUAGAGGCCCAGAAGUGCGAGAACGAGGAAGCCGAGACCGUCACCGCCAUGGCCUCGCUGUCCGUGGGCGUGAAGCCCGCCGAGAAGAGACCCGACGAGGAGCCCAUGGAGGAGGAGCCGCCGCUGUAGCCUCCCGCGCAGCUGCGGGCCUCUUGUUUGUUUGUCCCGUCUCGAAGCUCCGCCGACAAAGCUCCUGUUUGUGUGCGGCCUGCCCGCGUCCUCUGACCGCGGCUGGAGCGGCAGGGGGAGGCCUCCGCCCGCCCGGCCCGGCUCCCCGGCGGGCAGCCCUGCGCGGACCGGGACCCACUGGCAGCCGGGCUCUCGGCUCCCUCGACGGAGGCCACGGAGGAAGGAAGCCUGUGGCGGCUCGCGGCAGAGCUGCCCGCUCCGUGGCCGCGAGGGAAGGAAGACGCAAAUCAAAGAUCUAAUAAUACAAAACAGACUCAAUGAAAACUGGUGCUUACAGUUGAUUAUUACCCACAAUUCCACAGUCUCCGUGUAAACCACUCAACGCAUCCUGUAGCUUCUUUUGUUCAAGAGAACGUUCUCCCGGGCGCCGGCCCGUCCCAGAGCCCAGCGGUGCACCGCGGCGCGUGCAGGGGGGCCUGUGGCGGGGCAGGGGGCCGGGGCGGUGCGUGCGGGGGAAAGCUGGACGCACACCGAAGCGGGAGCCUGCGGGAACUGGCUUUGGUUUCUCCAAGCCAUCGGAAGAUUGAGCAGUGUUGUGUGGCAGCCAUUUUCGGAAAGUGAGCUCGUGCGAGUCGGGGGACGCGUGGUCUCCACGGCGACGCCAGCAGGGCGUCUGUCCCGGCUCCGUCCCCGCGGCUGCGUCCAGACCGGGGGCUCCUCUUCCCCCCACAUCGGCAGUAUUACGGGGGUGCUGUGUCCUCCCCUCCGCCGCGCUGUGGGCAGGGUCGCUCGCCAGACACCGCGGGCCGUCAGCACUCACGAAACUCCUGUUUCAACUUCUCUGACCGCGUUGUCAGGACAGCAUUUUAAAAUUCAGUUUUCCAAAGACCUUUUAAAGCAUGUCAGCAAUGCAUGGGGCCCGAGUGAGGCCCACACCUGUUGGGGGUGUCCCCUGCUGCAGCCACAUGGCCGGGGUCCUGGCCGGACGCAGCAGGCCCCGGGUUUUGGAACCUGUGGCUGCGGGGAGUCGAGGGGCCCCUGCUGCCUGGCGAGCCUGCAGGGACAGCACGGAUUCCUGACCAGGGCAGCCAGUCCUCACUCUUUCUCUCGUUGACAGUAACUGACCGUCACUUUUUCCUGGUAACUUAUUUUCCAGCACUUGAAGCCACCAAUUUCAUUCCAAAGCAUGUACUGGGUUCAGGCACAGCGCUCCCGUAGGAGGGAACCCCGAGCCGCGUCCCUGAGUUUAGUCCCGUUCACAGGGUAGCUUCUGAAGGAGACACUGAUGCAGCCGGACUUCCGGCCAAACGAAUCCAAAUUUUUGGAUUGGCUUGGUCGUCGGGAUGCUGGUGGUCAGGCCCAGGACGGCGGUCCCAGAGCAGGACAGAAGGUCUCGGGGCCCGUGUGGCUUUCUCCUCCCACUGACCCCACUUUGCUCGGAAGCCCACCUCGGCGGGAGGCGCCGGUGUGUGGGACCCACGUCGGCCGUCGGGGCCGUCGGGGCAUGAGCGCGGCAGCAGGGCCCGGCCCCUGCACGGCCUGUGGGACCCCCCUGCCACCUGCCGGCCGUGGCUCUUAGAGAGGAAGAGGUCAUCUCACGCUUUUUACGGGUGACUGGGUGAGGGAGUUAUCCGCGGCGGGCUCACUCCCGGUCUCCUUCGGGGAGAUGCCCUCCGCGGAGAGGCCUGGCAGGGGAGCAUGCUGCGUUGGUCAGCUCGCUCCAGCGCCAGAGACGUGCUUAAAGCAUUACCGUGUAGCCUUUUCUUUUCUUUGAAGACACACUCAGCCCUUCCCGCCGCCAGCCGCAGCGCGGGCGGCGGAGGGCCUGCCCCAGGGUCUGCGGGACCCCACGCCAGGGAGGGCGCCUCACCUGCCCUCUCUGGCCCCGGCACCUUUAGCCUUUUUCUUCCUUUGCAAAGGCCUCGGGGGCACUGGCCAGCCAGGGGUCAGCGAGCGAGCACUUUAUGUCCCUUCGUGGGAAACCCCACGGUGCCGCCGGGACACAGGGCGCCCGCCCUUUCGGCUCCAGCCGCGCCACGACGUGCCCGAGCCCCACCAGCAGGCGGCCGCCAGCCCCUCGGCCCCGAAGGGCCACUUUGUCAGAGUGUUUCGGUUUUUCUCCACUUCUUUUAAGUCUGUUUCCAGAGGAAGGACCGCCGGGCGUUGCUCGGACACGAACGCAGCGCCCGCGGCAGCGUUUCUGGGUUUUACUUUGAAUCAGAACAUUCCUUCUUUACUGGUCACAGCCAUGUGCUCAUUCCAUUCUUUUUGUAGACUUUUGGGCCCACGUGUUUUACGGGCAUUGAUACAUAUAUAAAUAUAUAUAUAAACAUAUAUGAAUAUAUUUUUUUAAGUUCCUACAGCUGGAGGUUGCAUGGACUCUAUGACCGGCAUGUCUUUAUAUUGUACACAGAUUUUGCACGCCAAACUCGGCAGCUUUGGGGAAGAAGAAAAAAAUGCCUUUUUUGGUUCCCCUCUCACGACAUUUGCAGAUACAAAAGAUGGGAAUUUUUCUGUAAAACCACACGAAACCUUGAAGGCGAGUCGGGGGUGGGGGGGGAACGUUUGCGUCUUCUUGAACUUAUUCUUAAGAAAUUGUACUUUUUAUUGUAAGAAAACUAAAAAGGACUACUUAACACAUUUGUCAUAUUAAGAAGAAAAGUUUAUCUAGCACUUGUGACAUACCAAUAAUAGAGUUUAUUGUAUUUAUGUGGAAACAGUGUUGUAGGGAAACGACACAGAAGUCAAGGCGAUCUGCCCGUCUCUCUUCAGUUGACUUGGAGGCAUUCGUUUCGUUUGUGCCCUCUGCUCUUGCACAGGGCCCGGCGGGCCGGCGGCCAACGGCCCCGACGGAGGAGCGGUCCGGCCCGUGGCCCGAAAGCGCCCCUUUCCGCACAGCUGUAUUGACUUUCUCGUUGCUUUUGGA